UACAGAGGUCUCAAGCGUUGUUCGGAUUCAUUGGGCGUAAAGGGUGCGUAGGCGGCGCGGUAAGUCGGGUGUGAAAUCUCGGAGCUUAACUCCGAAACUGCAUUCGAUACUGCCGUGCUUGAGGACUGGAGAGGAGACUGGAAUUUACGGUGUAGCGGUGAAAUGCGUAGAUAUCGUAAGGAAGACCAGUGGCGAAGGCGGGGUCUCUGGACAGUUCCUGACGCUGAGGCGCGAAGGCCAGGGGAGCGAACGGG
rnacentral:rRNA from 1 species